CCUGAACACAAAAUGGCGACACGUGGUUAGCAUUCGUCGCCAACGAGAAAUUGGGGUCGGCCCGAAAGCUCUAGAAUGCACCCCUCUUCCUCCCCGGGGCCUUCCACCUCCGCGAGUUUUAUGACUUAAAAAAGCCCACAGGCUGGUCUGAAGAGGAAGACAAACAUAAAGAUGAAGUGCUUAAUUCAAGGUCACACAAUGUCGGGGAUGGACCUCCAGAUUUCCUUACUGGUGAGACGUGGUCUUGUAACACAGUGGUUAAGAAUGUGACUUUGGAGCCAGCCUGCUAGGGGCUGAAUUCUGACUCAGCCAUUUACUAACUGUGUGACCUUAGUCUGUCUAGUGACUGGUGUUGUCAUAAGAAGAGAGGGACACAGAGGGAAGAUGGCCACAUGAAGAUGGAGGCAGAGAUUGCAGUUAUGCUGCUGCAAACUAAGGAAUGGCUCUGGCCCUCCAAGGAUUGCUGAUAACCACCAGAAACUAGAAGAGACAAGGAAGGAUUCUUCCCUAGAGCCUUCAGAGGGAGCAUGGCCCUACUGACACCUGGAUUUCAAACUUGUAGCUUCCUAAACUGCAAGAGAAUAAAUUUCUGUUGUUUUAAGCCA
rnacentral:lncRNA from 1 species